rnacentral:rRNA from 1 species
GACGAACGCUGGCGGCGUGCCUAAUACAUGCAAGUAGGACGCAGUUGCGAACGGGUGAGUAACGCGUAGGUAACUGACUAUUAGCGGGGGAUAACUAUUGGAAACGAUAGCUAAUACCGCAUACUAGUAGAUGGACCUGCGUUGUAUGAGCUAGUAGGUCGGGUAAUGGCCUACCAAGGCGAAGAUACAUAGCCGACCGUAGAAGGGGAUCGGCCAACCUUGGACUGGGACAAGGCCCAGAACCCCACGGGGUGCAGCAGUAGGGAAACUUCGGCAAUGGGGGGAACCCUGACCGAGCACCGCCGCGGGAGUGAAGAAGGUUUUUGGAUCGUAAAGCUCUGUUGUUAAGGAAGCGGUACUUAACCAGAAAGGGACGGCUAACUACGUGCCAGCAGCCGCGGUAAUAC